rnacentral:rRNA from 2 species
UAUCACUAAGCGGAGGAAAAGAAACUAACCAGGAUUCCCCUAGUAACGGCGAGUGAAGAGGGAAAAGCCCAGCACCGAAGCCUGCGGUAGUUUUACUGUUAGGCAAUGUGGUGUUUGGGUCGGCUAGUUGGAUUGCCACUCCACUCGAAGUCCUAUCAUUGAGUAUGGCCCUGGACUUGUCCCAGAGAGGGUGAAAGGCCCGUACGGGUGGAGGUUUUCAGACAAGUGAGGCAAUUCACCAGGCCGGCCUUAGAGUCGGGUUGUUUGGGAAUGCAGCCCAAAGUGGGUGGUAAACUCCAUCCAAGGCUAAAUACUAGCACGAGUCCGAUAGCAAACAAGUACCGUGAGGGAAAGUUGAAAAGUACUUUGAAGAGAGAGUAAACAGUACGUGAAACCGCAUGCAGGUAAACGGGUGGCGUCAAGCUGCAAGCCCAGAGGAUUCAGUCGGCUAGGAUGUAGUGUAUGCGCCUGCGCAUCAAUCGGCCAGAGUAAGAUUGAAUGGUCCACUGGAAGACAGUGGGCCCUGCCGCAAGGUGGGGAUGUGUGUACCGGGUGGAUGCCGGAGCACGCCGUUCGUCUAUUGGGCUGCCUAGUCGGUGCACUUUCUCUGUGGUGGACACCACGACCGGUGGUACUGCCAGUCUGCUAUGGUCAAGUCGUAUUCGGUUGGUCCUUGUGGCCUACUGGAUGCGAUCACGGGCAAACUCGGUAAACGGCGUUGAUGUGCUCUCGGGUGUGUCUUCGUGUUAUCGGCUACUGGUUGCCUUAACGGGCCUGCCUUACGAUUGUUAUAGCCGUCAUGAGGUGGUCUGGUGGACUAUAGUGGUAUGAAUAACUGUGCAGGGCACUGGUGUUUUCGGCCUCAAAUGCAGUCUGUAUGCACGCUAUAAGUGUGUGUGCGUGUGUGGGGGCAUCGUUGCGGCCUGCCUGUUGUUGGGUCUGAUUGUCGUGUUACCUGCGCAAAGUAGGUCCGGCAGUGGUCUGAUGCAGGAUGGAGUCGUUGGCGAUGUCUUCAGUGCAGAUUGUGGUGGGCCCGAUAGUCUGUGGUGUAGUGGUAGACGAGCUACCCGACCCGUCUUGAAACACGGACCAAGGAGUUUAACAUGUGUGCAAGUCAUGGGGUCUUUUUUGUACGAAACCCAAAGGCGCAAUGAAAGUAAAGCUUCGAGCUUUUUGUUCGAAGUGAGGUGAGAUCCUGUUGUUACUCGCACCCGUUUGCUCGUCAGUAGCAGGCAUCAAGAGCGGCAGGCGCAUCACCGGCCCGUCCCAUGAUGUGGUCAUUGGAAAAGGCUGCAGUUGGCUAUGCUGGUUGUAGUACUCCCAGUGCGUCAUCGGGGCGGAGCAUGAGCAUACAUGUUGAGACCCGAAAGAUGGUGAACUAUGCUUGCGUAGGUUGAAGCCAGAGGAAACUCUGGUGGAGGACCGCAGCGAUUCUGACGUGCAAAUCGAUCGUCAAACGUGAGUAUAGGGGCGAAAGACUAAUCGAAC